UACGUAGGUGGCAAGCAUUAUCCGGAUUUACUGGGCGUAAAGGGUGCGUAGGCGGUAUUUUUAAGUGAGAUGUAGAAACGUACCCGGGCUCAACCGUGGGGGCUGCAUUUACAAACGUGGAAAUCUAGAGUGCAGGAGAGGAAAGUGGAAUUCCUAGUGUAGCGGUAGAAAUGCGUAGAGAUUAGGAAGAACACCAGUGGCGAAGGCGAC
rnacentral:rRNA from 1 species